AUUGAACGCUGGCGGCAGGCCUAACACAUGCAAGUCGAGCGGAGCGGCGGACGGGUGAGUAAUGCCUAGGAAUCUGCCUGGUAGUGGGGGAUAACGUCCGGCAACGGGCGCUAAUACCGCAUACUAUCAGAUGAGCCUAGGUCGGAUUAGCUCGUUGGUGGGGUAAAGGCCUACCAAGGCGACGAUCCGUAACUGGUCUGAGAGGAUGAUCAGUCAAACGGGAACUGAGACACGGUCCAGACGCCUACGGGAGGCAGCAGUGGGGAAUAGUGGAAAAUGGGCGAAAGCCUGAAACAGCCAUGCCGCGUGGGUGAAGAAGGGAUGCGGAUUGGAAAGCACUUUAAGUUGGGAGGCGUUACCAACAGAAUAAGCACCGGCUAACUUCGUGCCAGCAGCCGCGGUAAUAC
rnacentral:rRNA from 1 species